rnacentral:misc_RNA from 1 species
CGCCGAAGGUGGGGCUGAUGACUGGGGUGAAGUCGUAACAAGGUAGCCGUACCGGAAGGUGCGGCUGGAUCACCUCCUAACAGGGAGACAAAAAAACUGAUUAUUGAUGUCUGAUACUUAAAAUUCAGGCCAUAAUCCUGUCACCUUAGGUCGAUCGGUACCUCAGAUUAAAAAACAAGUAACAAUCAAUUUGCUGUUUUUUGAUUUUAGUUCCUAAACUUGUCUAGGUCACACCCAACAAACUUUCUCCUGGGCUAUUAGCUCAGGCGGUUAGAGCGCACCCCUGAUAAGGGUGAGGUCCCUGGUUCAAGUCCAGGAUGGCCCAUUCGUUGUUGGGGGUAUAGCUCAGUUGGUAGAGCGCCUGCUUUGCAAGCAGGAUGUCAGCGGUUCGAGUCCGCUUACCUCCACUGAUCAACUACCUGAUAACUCAAUUUGGAGAUCGACAAUGACUUAUUGGAAAUUAUAUAGGGCUCGCUACAAAGAACUCACCUUGCAGACCCUGCUUCAUUAAUAUCAUGAUGACAUAACGGUUGCCUGACUGAUAUUUGAAAAUCUAUCAGUUUGAUUCAGUAGAACCUUGACAACUGCAUAGGAAAAGUCUGGAAAGAAUAAAGCAUCUCAUAGAUGUAUAGAAACC